UUCGUGGUUUGAGAUGAUUCAACCGGAGGAGUAGGAGUAGGAGUAGGAGUUUCUACUUCUUUCACUACAACCUCUUCUUGUUUGCUUAUUUCGGAGUCGGAACCAACACAAUCAAAUUUUCCAUCAGGCUCUUCCUUUUCACCAUCUGGUAAGCUUUCACAUUCUACAUUACUUUCAACAUCAUUCUUCACCACUUCAUGAUAAACACUACUGAGUUCGCCAGUCAACAUCGUGGUUUGGUCAACUUCUUCAACGGAAACAUGGUGGUUGGACGUCUCGGAUUCAGAAUCAGCCCUUUCACUAUGAUCCAUCAUCAGAUCUCCUCCACCAUUCGAUACAGUAGUAUUAAAUUCCAUUUCCCUCUCUUCCUCCAGUAACUUAGUCUUCCUAUCCGCUAUCUUCUUGUAAUGAGCUUCAAAGUAAGCCCUCUUCUG
rnacentral:lncRNA from 1 species